rnacentral:rRNA from 1 species
AUUGAACGCUGGCGGCAGGCUUAACACAUGCAAGUCGAGCGAGCGGCGGACGGGUGAGUAAUGUCUGGGAAACUGCCUGAUGGAGGGGGAUAACUACUGGAAACGGUAGCUAAUACCGCAUAACAUCAGAUGUGCCCAGAUGUGAUUAGCUAGUAGGUGGGGUAAUGGAUCACCUAGGCGACGAGCCCUAGCUGGUCUGAGAGGAUGACCAGCCACACUGGAACUGAGACACGGUCUCGACUCCUACGUGAGGAAGCAGUGGGGAAGAUUGGACAAUGGGCGCAAGCCGGAUGCAGCAAUGCCGCGUGGGUGAAGAAGGCCUUCGGGUUGUAAAGCACUUUCAGCGAGGAGGCGUUACUCGCAGAAGAAGCACCGGCUAACUCCGUGCCAGCAGCCGCGGUAAUAC